UAAGCACACAUUUUCUCCUUAGACUUCACUAAGAAAUCCUCACAUUGUGUUAUGGUCUAUUUGUCUCUCUCCCGCAUUAUUACCUGUCCCCAUAUCAGAUGAUUCUCAGAAGCAUACAAGUCACCUGCAUGUGUCCUUUGUCCCCGUCUAGAAUAUUCCCAGCAGAAUAUUGUUAAAAUGCAAGUCACAUCAGGACAUACCUCCCUCAAAAGCCUCCUUCUUUUCUCACUCAGAAUAAAAUCCUAAAACCCUGUAAUGGCCAAAAGGCCCCACAGGAUCUGGCCCUCUGACCCCAGCUGCUGCUGUUCCUCUGUCCUCACACUGCUGUAGACGAGCUGGCCUGCUCAGUCCUCACUUGCCAACACUCAUUGGCAUUUACUAUACCCUCUCCCUGGAAUAUUCUUUCCCAAGCUUUCUGAAAAGCUCAUUUCCUUUAUGCUUUUGCUCAGAUGCCACCUUAUCAGAGAGGCCAUGCCUGAACUUCACAGAAUAUUCUUCCUCUCCGUACUCCCUGACCCUCCCAGACUACCCGUGUUUCCCCUUUGCACUUGUCACCAGAUGCUGCACUCUGCAUUGAGCACUUUACUGUCCGUCUCUCCACUAUAAAACGAGAGGGGUCUCAGACUUCCCUAGAGCAGGGACUUGGUAGGUUUAGCUCUGCUAGAUUCCCAGCUCCUGGAGUGAUGCCUGGCACUCAGCUCACAAAAUAUUUGUUGAAUAAUUGAAUUUUACUUCUAUCCCUGAAUAAUCCACAAUCUCUACAUCACAAAAACAGUUGAAGUGAAGAAACUCCACUUAUACCUCUGAGUAUAAUUGUUCCUCAAUUCAAGUUUUAUUUACUCCAAGAACUCUUCUUUUUUUAAAAAAAACCUCCUCCAUACCAACCAUCCUCUUGCUUUAAUGCUUGAAAUAAUGCUGAGGAAAGAGGAUGAGCUUUGGCCUCCGAGGGACCAGUUCUAAACUCCAACUCUCAACUUGUGAGCUUUAGGGACAAAGGACUGAAUAGUUCCAAUCUCAGUUUCAGUUUUCAGGAGCAGCUCCCUCAGAUAGUUACUGAGAAAUAAAAUUAACACAUUUAUGUAAAACUUUCAACAUAUAAAUACUACAUAACUCUUUUUAUGAUUUGUUUUAUAAUAUUUAUAGCUACAUUUAUUUUUAAAUUAUUUCCUUUAUACCUGUUUUUGCAUUCUUCACUAAAUUAUAUACUUCUGAUUCAAGAACAGUCAUUUAUUCCUUUUUGUACUCUUAAAGAGUAGACUCAACAAAUACUUGAAUGGUUACUAUUUUCUUUUGUUGUACAUGGCAGACUCUAAUAUGGAAAAUGCCACCAAGGUACCUAGUACAAUUCUAGAUGAAGUUGCUAGAAAAAGAGACCCACCAAAGAGAGAGAUAAAAGGAUUCACUGUGUCACCUGCCCAGGGGAGAGUGACUUUGGCUCUGCCUUUACUAAAGCAAUAGUGAUGGAUGAGCAGUAAUUCCAGUCAUUCCUGUGUGAAUCUGAACUGUUCCUGUAAAAUGUGACAAUCCCUUUUUGUUUGUUUAUUUUUUGGGUCCAAAAGUUCUGCCAGUGGUACUGGGAAAUGAAUGAAUUCUGUUUUCAUGUGCAUCCUUGUGUGUAUUAAGAUGAAUGGAUUAAAUCAGAACUUCCUGCCACAUAAAUCAUCCCAAGGAAACACCACUUCUGCCUCUUACAUAGGCAUUCGGGAACCUGGAGCUGCAAGCAAGUAUCAAAACUGCCCACCAAUAUUAGCCCUCGAUCAAUGCAGAAGGCAAUACUUAAUGCAGUAUUUGUGGCAUUUUCAUUGUACCAUGGACCGAAACAGAGAAAUCUGGUGAUAUUGUCAUACCAACAUCACCACUUUAGGGCAAAGGCUUAUGGUGGGCGAGGUCUGUUUGCAGACCUCCUAGUUGGCUGGCUUGGUCCUCCUUUCUAGGAAUUACCUGAGGACAUAGUCUGUGUUUGUAUAUGGAAGCACGUGUUUUGAUAUGUCUGCACCUUUAGGUGGAGAUUGACAGAGGCCUGCAGAGAUUUUUGUAAAGUCACUUGCUAUGCCUGUAGCUUUGAGCUAUUACCUUGACCUCUUGUGGAGCUGGAGUUGUGUUGGGUACUACAUAUCUACUUGAAUGACUCCCAACAAAAAUUCUGGAUACAAAGCUUAAAUGCACUUCCCUGGUUGACAACACUUGGCGUGUGUUGUAAUAAAUCCUUGCUGGGAGAAUUACACACUGUCAUGCCAUUCUACUGGAGAAGAUAGCCAGAAGCCCAUGCUUGACCUCUCCUGAACAUGACCCGGGUCUUUUCAGAGGUAACCAAGUUAACAUGAGGACAUAGGCAGAGACACGGGAGAAAGACAGCCAAGAUAAGCCAAGGAGAAGGGGUUUGAGUAGAUCCUUCCCUGACAGCCCCAGGAGAAACCAGCUCUACCGACCGACCCCUUGACUUUGAACCUUUGGUCUCCAGAACAGUGAGACAGAUUCUGAGAAAAUCAUUUAAAAACAAAUGAGGGAAGGAAAUCAGCCCACUCUGUUUCUGACCUUGCCAGUUUUAACAGCAGCCCCGUAUCCAGUGGAAAAUCCGCAGCCGAUUAAACAGACUUUCUCAGGAGGAGCGGCAUCGUGGAUCUUGGCAACGGAAGAUUCAUCCACCACCGUGUACUCGGUAAACGUGCUGGUGUUCAUGAAGUGAUAGACCGGCUUGCCCUUGCAGAUGCAAUAGACUAAGAAAACUUCCAUUGGUGUAUCAUUAACUCACAAACCACAAAUUUGUAUUGAAUUGCUAAAUAAAUCACACAGCAAUGGUGAAGAAAUGAGACAGUUGAUGUGGAUGGUCUUUGUUAUGGGCUGAAUUGUGUCCCUCUCCAAAUUUAUGUGUUGAAGUCCUAAUCUUCAGUACUUCGGAAGGUGACUAUUUGGAGAUAAGGUGGCUCAUCCUAGGAAUUAUAGGUGGUGUGACUUAAUCCAAUAUGACUUGUCUUUAUAAGAAGAGGAGAUUAGAACACAGAUACCAUACAAAGGAAAGGACAUGUGAAGACACAGAGAGAAGGCCAUCUACACUCCAAAAACCCAACCAUGCUGACACCUGAUCUUAGAAUUCUAGACUCCAGAUCUAUGAGAAAAUAAAUUUCUGUUAUGGCUCUACCAAACUGGCAACAAUUAUUAUUUACUUAUCUAGCGAAAAACGAAACAUUUAUUAUACAGAAAAAAAAAUGUAAUCUCCAAUUAAAGGGGACCUCUUCUUUCAUGAGCUACACCAGAACACUAAAGGAAUUUGGGAAAUACAUAACCCUAUGUAGCCACACUAUUAUCUCUAUAAAGCUUGUAUGCUCUUUAUAUGUUAUAUACUGAGUCAUUAAUUAUAAUUGAAAAGUUGAGGCUACUGAGUUCCCCACCACUAGAAAUAUUCUCACCAUGGCUGGACAUCCGCUUUGCAUAGACAGCAUAACUAGACCUGAUGCAUGCACCUAAAGCUGCACAUUUUUCAGAUUUCUUCCAACUUUAAGGUUCAUUAAUAUCCCUGGGUAGAGUUGCUAGCUUCUGUAGUGUAAAAUUAAUUCCCCAAGUAAUCUGGUUUUGCUGAAUGUCUGACUCAAAGUAGAAUGCUUUCAUUCUAUUUUUAUUUAAUUCUAAGAAAAAUCAUUUCAAGUUUUAGGGCCUCUUGAUUUGAUAAAGAUGACUCCAAAUGUUAUCUUUAUUUUCCUAAAAACCUUAAGGUUGGCUAAAUGCAAAGUGUUUAAAUAAGAACAAAACAAACAAAAACAUCUAACACUUGAAGCAAUUGUGUGCCCAUGUGAAAGGAAGAACUACGCUGAUUUACUUGCAAAUUUAAAUAAAUGAAAGUUAUUUCUGA